UGGGGAAUUUUGGACAAUGGGCGCAAGCCUGAUCCAGCCAUGCCGCGUGCGGGAAGAAGGCCUUCGGGUUGUAAACCGCUUUUGUCAGGGAAGAAAUCUUCUGAGUUAAUACCUCGGGAGGAUGACGGUACCUGAAGAAUAAGCACCGGCUAACUACGUGCCAGCAGCCGCGGUAAUACGUAGGGUGCAAGCGUUAAUCGGAAUUACUGGGCGUAAAGCGUGCGCAGGCGGUUUUGUAAGACAGAGGUGAAAUCCCCGGGCUCAACCUGGGAACUGCCUUUGUGACUGCAAGGCUUGAGUGCGGCAGAGGGGGGAUGGAAUUCCGCGUGUAGCAGUGAAAUGCGUAGAUAUGCGGAGGAACACCGAUGGCGAAGGCAAUCCCCUGGGCCUGCACUGACGCUCAUGCACGAAAGCGUGGGGAGCAAACAGGAUUAGAUACCCUGGUAGUCCACGCCCUAAACGAUGUCAACUGGUUGUUGGGAAGGUUCCUUCUCAGUAACGUAGCUAACGCGUGAAG
rnacentral:rRNA from 1 species